UACAAAGCAGUGUAUGGGCACAAAGAAUUUUGAUUUCUUAAGAGAGGUAUACUGUGCCUCCUGGUAA
rnacentral:tRNA from 1 species